rnacentral:rRNA from 1 species
AGAGAGAAGCUUGCUUCUCUUGAGAGCGGCGGACGGGUGAGUAAUGCCUAGGAAUCUGCCUGGUAGUGGGGGAUAACGUUCGGAAACGGACGCUAAUACCGCAUACGUCCUACGGGAGAAAGCAGGGGACCUUCGGGCCUUGCGCUAUCAGAUGAGCCUAGGUCGGAUUAGCUAGUUGGUGAGGUAAUGGCUCACCAAGGCGACGAUCCGUAACUGGUCUGAGAGGAUGAUCAGUCACACUGGAACUGAGACACGGUCCAGACUCCUACGGGAGGCAGCAGUGGGGAAUAUUGGACAAUGGGCGAAAGCCUGAUCCAGCCAUGCCGCGUGUGUGAAGAAGGUCUUCGGAUUGUAAAGCACUUUAAGUUGGGAGGAAGGGUUGUAGAUUAAUACUCUGCAAUUUUGACGUUACCGACAGAAUAAGCACCGGCUAACUCUGUGCCAGCAGCCGCGGUAAUACAGAGGGUGCAAGCGUUAAUCGGAAUUACUGGGCGUAAAGCGCGCGUAGGUGGUUUGUUAAGUUGGAUGUGAAAUCCCCGGGCUCAACCUGGGAACUGCAUUCAAAACUGACUGACUAGAGUAUGGUAGAGGGUGGUGGAAUUUCCUGUGUAGCGGUGAAAUGCGUAGAUAUAGGAAGGAACACCAGUGGCGAAGGCGACCACCUGGACUAAUACUGACACUGAGGUGCGAAAGCGUGGGGAGCAAACAGGAUUAGAUACCCUGGUAGUCCACGCCGUAAACGAUGUCAACUAGCCGUUGGAAGCCUUGAGCUUUUAGUGGCGCAGCUAACGCAUUAAGUUGACCGCCUGGGGAGUACGGCCGCAAGGUUAAAACUCAAUGAAUUGACGGGGGCCCGCACA